rnacentral:snoRNA from 1 species
UCCCAGUGAAGAAACAUCCGGGGACAUACUUCUUGUCCCGUCCCAGUCCCAAAUUCUAUAAAGAUAAACCCUCUGGGGCUGAGUGGGGGAAGGAGGAAAGUUUAUUGAAGGACGAAAUGUCUGAGGGAG